GCGCCUAACUUCCCAUCUGGAGGAACACUGUACUCAUGACAGAGCUCAUAUAGGAAAUGUUUGGAACUUUUGGAAGCUGCUCAAUAAAUCCAGGCAAUGCCUACAGCAUGGCUCAGCAGAUGAAUGUUUGUGGGAAGCUGGCUGCUCCAGGAGCCGCAUGCAGUGCUGAGGUGUCCUUCCAAACAAGGGCCCCAACAGCUGAAGGGCUCCAGUUACCCAAGAGAUCCUGUUUGCCAAUUUUACAUGUCUCAGCCCACCUGGCAAAAGUUUUGCAUUUGUCCCUCAAUAUGGACCAUAAGGGCCUUUCUGUCCCAAGCAACUGUUUCCAACAAAUGGAUUCAGCAGGAGACUUUAAUUCAGAGCUUCAGUAACUCACAUGACAUUUUUUCAACUGUGAAGUUUUGCUUGAGCUGACAAAAAAAAAGCGAGAUCAUUUAACAAAUACCCGUGAGUCACCAUUGUGGUUUAAUA